rnacentral:rRNA from 1 species
UGGGGAAUUUUGGACAAUGGGCGCAAGCCUGAUCCAGCCAUGCCGCGUGCAGGAUGAAGGCCUUCGGGUUGUAAACUGCUUUUGUACGGAACGAAAAGGUGCCUUCUAAUAAAGGGCGCUCAUGACGGUACCGUAAGAAUAAGCACCGGCUAACUACGUGCCAGCAGCCGCGGUAAUACGUAGGGUGCGAGCGUUAAUCGGAAUUACUGGGCGUAAAGCGUGCGCAGGCGGUUUUGUAAGACAGAGGUGAAAUCCCCGGGCUCAACCUGGGAACUGCCUUUGUGACUGCAAGGCUGGAGUGCGGCAGAGGGGGAUGGACUUCCGCGUGUAGCAGUGAAAUGCGUAGAUAUGCGGCGGAACACCGAUGGCGAAGGCAAUCCCCUGGGCCUGCACUGACGCUCAUGCACGAAAGCGUGGGGAGCAAACA